AUUAAAUAUUUUUAGUGAAAGAUACAACAGCAAUUCGUAAGCUAUAAUAUCAAAAAAACAAAAACAUAUCAUCAUCAACACCAUCAUCACAAUAAUAAUAGUCAUCAUGAACAACAACUCGAUCUGACUCUCCCAUAAUAAUCAUUUCUCACGCUUCCUUUCCCUUUCUGUUGUCUUCUCAUUAUUUCUUCUUGCUGAUUAACAUGAUAAUAUUAUGCAGUGUUUUCUUUAUGCUUACAAAACCGAUUCAAGGUGAUCUCCUAUUUCUCCAACAUUUAUCUCAAGAUUCUCGAAAGCAUCAUCAUUAUCAUAAGCAUCAUCAGCUAAAUAAGUAAAAGCCAAGAGAAACCCAUUCCAACGUUUUUACCACUUUGCAUCAUACAUUUUAUUUUCGUCCAUUGGGCAGUCAUUUUUCUCCAUUUUUAAUUUCACUCGGGCCUUUUCAUGUCCAGUUCACCAAGUCUGGCUAAGUCCAGUCGAGUUAGGAUUUUCCCAAAAUUUUAAUUACUUCAACAUUGUUCAACAGAAUUUCAAGCGAUUAAUCAUCCAUUUGUGGUCAGUGCAAAGCUAAAAGAAAUACAUUGAAAAAGAAAUUACUUUUGCUUAUUCGAAAUUGAUUAUUUCUUUAAUUAACUUGGAGGUGUAAUUGGUGAAGUAAUGAUAUUGAUUCAGCAGUAUUCUUGCAUUAAUUAAUCAUCAUCAACUCUCAAUUGGAAACUGAUUCACUCUGACAUCAACUUGAUGACAUGUUUAGUUAAGUAAUUUGUCUUUGCUUAACUACAUUUUGCUGUUAUUAUCUGUUAUUGUGUGUGAGUGUGUUUGUUUACCUGUUUGUGUGGUUGUUAUUUCUUCCUUCAGUCACCACUGGAAUGGAUUACAUUUUUUAAAUCAACAUGAAAGUUAAACAAGAUGAGCCUGAUGACGUUAUAACUGUAAUCUAUUUUAAUGACCAAGAAAACAAAACAUUGACAAAGAUUAAGCAUAAUGACUGACAAUGGGCAACAUCCUACCUGAGCUUUAAAACGACUACCAACGGUUUUCCCAAGGAUUUCACCUCUAUGUGAAUCAUCGUUGGAUAAUGAAUUAUGUUGGAAUUGGUACUUUCUGGAUCUUGUAAUAACAAGGGUCAUCAAUGAUAAACUCGCUUAAAAUCAAGAAAGUUUUAAUUGUUGAUGGUGAUGAUGAUGGGUAUUGAGCAUAAUAUCCGGAAUCAUCUUCAUAAUUGUUGGAAAUCAUCGUAUUAUUCAGUGUUUAAUCAAAAAUCACGUUUUCAAUUUGAUAAGAUGAUGAAGAAGAGUUGAAUUUUGAUGACCUGUUGAUUGCUGAUAUUCAGUCUGGAUAAAUGAAAGUGGAUUCCAACAGAUUAUCCUGAAGACCAAAAAAAUAAUUGUCAUUCUGACAAUCAGUAUAAAUCUAGUCUCGAUAAAAAUGGUUCAACCAUAUGACGAGCAUCAAAAUUCAGCAAAUUUAACAUGAUCUAUGAUGAGGGAUAAAACUGAUAACUUGAGUUACCAUGGCAAUCGGACCAACUUUGAAUGUCGAUAUGAAAUAUUUAACAUCACGAAAUGAGGAAGUACGCUGUUUACAGUUGUGUUUAUGUUGAAAGAAAAUUUUAUUUUAAUAAACACCUUUCUGGUUGAUUAAAUCCAUAUUCAAACAAUUUAAUCAUCAAUUGUUUCCAGAUGAUGGCAAAGUGAUUCAAAGUUUUGAUGCUUAAAUAGUCAUAAAAUGGAGACUUUCAUUGAUCAUCAUUUGUUCCCAAGCAAUUGUUACUGGCUCAUCAAAUCCAAUUCAUCAAUCAAACGUUGAUUAUGAUACAUAUUGAUGGAAAUGGAAGCAAUUUUUAAAGUGAAACAACUUUAUAAAGAAACAAAUGUUGCUUGUCUAAUUGAACAACAUCGGCUCACCAAUCGAAGGAGUAAAGAAAAUGAUUCAACCUGGAAAAUACGUUCUGAUCGUAAACUGAUGAACGAACUGGCAAACAAAAGAUGAACAUUUAAUAUAAUUAACAAUUUGACCAUAAAAUAACCAUUCUGUCGGUUCCUUGAUGGUAAUUUGCCCAAAACAAAUUCAACUGAAAAGUAAUAAGCUUUAACCAUACUUAUGGAUGAUUAUGAUGUUGAUGAUAAUUAUAAAAACUGGAAUCAAGUUCCGUGAUGCUUUGAAUUUCAUGAAGAAAAAUGAACAAAACGAAAAACAAAAAGUCAAGGAAAAGUAAAGACAACAGCAAAGGAUUGAAAGCAACUUGGAUUAAUCAUCUAAUUGUAGCAAUGGAUCAAACAAGAAAGCUCAAGUAAAGAUAGUUAAUGCAAUGGACAAAAAAAUCAAAAGUGAAAUGAAGGUGACUAACUAAAAGUCACUAAAAAGCGAUGAAAUUCCCAAGCAGAUUAUUCCUAUCGAUUUGAUACAGUCAUUGGAUAUCAAGACCGUAAAUAACAGAUGACAAUAAAGAAGAAAAAAAUGGAAAUUGAAAUACUGAAUUGAAGAUACAUGACCGUCCCGUUGAAUCUUUAGCUGAUCAAGAAUUUGAAAGGAGGUCAAACUUAGCAAGAUUUCGAUGGCCAAUUGGAGAAAUCAAAGGAAAGAUCGAAAGGAAAGGAGUAAAGUAAAGAUACAGGGAUGAUAUUAUAAUAUUAAUAUAAUAAUAAGAGUGGAUGAUUUAGAUAACAAUCAUAAUAAUUAAUAGAAAGGUAAUUAAUGAAUAGAGGUAAUGAGGCAAAAUUGAGUGAAAAUGAAUUUCAUCCUUUUUCUUUUUUGUAAAAGUGAGAUGAGAAAGAAUAAUAAGAUCAAAAAUUAACAUCUUUUCCUUGAAACAGUUUCACGUGCAAUAUUUACCUGGUUAGAUGGAUUUGGGUAGGACCAGGUAAACUUGAAGAUUAUUAUUGUGUUUUUGUGAGUGUUUUUUGUCUAAUAUUUAAAGCUGAAACAACAUUAAUUCACACCAACUUGCUGGUCUUACAAAAAACAGACAAGCAAGGUUCAAGCUGUUCACAUUGAUGGUUAGUGUUACACAUACUGUACUUGAAUAAUGUUAAAGUCAACGAUAUAAUCAACACGGUACAUCAUGUUUCAUCGUCUACUUCAUGUUGUUAUAAUCAAGUAAACAAACAAGCAAUCAAAGGAGAAGCAAAGAAAAGGAUUCAUCAAUAUACUUAAUCAACAAUUCAGGGUUGAUCAUCAAAUCAAAUAAACUAAAUAUUAUACAUACUAGUGUAAAACAUAAUGAAGCUCUGUACUUCAAAUUAUGCAGUCUUGUUACAAGUUGAACAAUUAAAAUUAACGUAUAAUAUGCAUCAUUUUGCUGAUCACCAUUCAGACAAUUAUAAACAAUCAACAAACAAAAAAUUAGUACAUAAAAAUAAACACAACAAAAUGGGUCAAUGUUUA